rnacentral:tRNA from 13 species
UUGUUCAAUGGGCAAAAGAGUAUCGGACUUAUGAACUGGAGUUGUAGGUUCA